AUUGAACGCUGGCGGCAGGCCUAACACAUGCAAGUCGAGCGAGCGGCGGACGGGUGAGUAAUGGCAGGGAAACUGGCUGAUGGAGGGGGCUAACGACUGGAAACGGUAGCUAAUACAGCAUACAAUCAGACGUGACCAGAUGGGAUUAGCUAGUAGGUGGGGUAACGGCUCACCUAGGGGACGAUCCCUAGCUGGUCUGAGAGGAUGACCAGCCCCACUGGAACUGAGCCACGGUCCAGACUCCUACGGGAGGCAGCAGUGGGGAAUAUUGCACAAUGGGCGCAAGCCUGAUACAGCCAUGCCGCGUGUGUGAAGAUGGCCUUCGGGUUGUAAAGCACUUUCAGCGGGGAGGCGUUACCCGCAGAAGAAGCACCGGCUAACUCCGUGCCAGCAGCCGCGGUAAUUC
rnacentral:rRNA from 1 species